GGGAGAGUGAGAGUGACCGUAUCGCCAGGAGAGACGGAGAGCCCGAGCCAGGAGGAGAGCUCAGAGGGCUGGAGAUAGUGAUGACAACGAGCCCAGUGGAGAGGAGGGGUUGGGAGGCAGUGGGCAGGAUCCACAGACAGACAGGCACUCCAGCACCAGGUCCGCCGUGUCAUGUAACGACUGUAUCGACAGAGGAGGCGGCUCUGAAACUAAGGAUUACAAGAAGCUGUUUGAGGUGGUGUCCAGGGGAGAAUGGUCAGC